rnacentral:misc_RNA from 1 species
UACAGAGGGUGCAAGCGUUAAUCGGAAUUACUGGGCGUAAAGCGCGCGUAGGUGGUUUGUUAAGUUGAAUGUGAAAUCCCCGGGCUCAACCUGGGAACUGCAUCCAAAACUGGCCAGCUAGAGUAUGGUAGAGGGUAGUGGAAUUGCCUGUGUAGCGGUGAAAUGCGUAGAUAUAGGAAGGAACACCAGUGGCGAAGGCGACUACCUGGACUGAUACUGACACUGAGGCACGAAAGCAUGGGGAGCAAACAGG